rnacentral:rRNA from 1 species
CGGCGUGCUUAACACAUGCAAGUCGAACGAACCUUCGGGUUAGUGGCGGACGGGUGAGUAACGCGUGAGAAUCUGCCCUCAGGAGGGGGACAACAGCUGGAAACGGCUGCUAAUACCCCAUAUGCCGGGAGGUGAAAUGAAUUUCGCCUGAGGAUGAGCUCGCGUCUGAUUAGCUAGUUGGUGAGGUAAUGGCUCACCAAGGCAUCGAUCAGUAGCUGGUCUGAGAGGAUGAUCAGCCACACUGGGAUUGAGACUCGGGCCAGACUCCUACGGGAGGCAGCAGUGGGGAAUUUUCCGCACUGGCCGAAAGCCUGACGGAGCAACGCCGCGUGAGGGAUGAAGGCCUCUGGGCUGUAAACCUCUUUUAUCAAGGAAGAAGAUCUGACGGUGCUUGAUGAAUAAGCCACGGCUAAU